UUUGAGCUGAGACCAGAAUGAAGUGAGCACAAGCCAAGCGACCGUCUGGGCGAGGAGCUUCGAAAGCAGAGGGAAUAGCAAGGCGAAGGCCCAAGAGUGUGCGGGCAACGGAGCAGAGAGCCGGGUGCAUCUAAGGACCAGCAAUAAUAAAAUCCCCUGCUGCCUUUUCGGGGCUCACGAACACGGUGCUGGAAAUCCCGUCUUCCUGCCGCUGGUGCGACCGGGUGCGGCUCAUCUGUCGGGUUCUUGUCGACGGGGCCAUGAGUGGAAACCAUUUCUGCUACUGCUACUUCUUGGUUCGGUGCUCACAGGGAACUUCCAAUGGUUUUAGGAGCUCUGUGCCAGGAACUGGGAUAAAGAACAAGUAUGUUUCUUAUUAUAAAUCACAAUAUCACGUCUACUACAGGACUUAGUAUCCUUAACACAUGCUAACAUGUGUUUAAUCUCCAAGAGGAGCAACAUCCAAAAUGGCGUGCCUCGGAACACUGAGACCCUGCUUCCUGGAGCCCUCCAAGUCCAGGACACAGUGAAAAGCCGCGAAGUCUGGUCACGGCCACAGAAGUCUGUUCUGGGCAUUUCGUUGGAGUGAGACUGCUCCUCCCACAUUCAGUUGAGAAAUGGGCCUUGAGACAGGACAGUUCCUGCAGGCAACUUUCUUGGAAGCAAUUCACU